GCUCUUGCCUGGUUCUGUGAUGGAAAAAUCUGGGAAUUUAACUCUAGAUAGUGAAGUGGGGUAUGGAGAUUUGGCUUUAUUGAAAGAGUUGGGGGGUUUGGAUUUUGGGGAAGAUAUCAAGUUUGAACCUUUGAAGCUUCUAGCUAAGUUUCGUGAGGAGGCUGUGGAGGCCAAUGGAACUGUUGCUUCAAGGAUUGUUGUUAGAUUUGGUUAUAGAAAACCUAAGCUGGCUUUGGUAUUUUCAAAUUUGUCGGUUGAUCCAUAUCAAAUAAUGAUGGUUAACGUUGCAGCUGCAUUACGGGAGAUCGGCUAUGAAAUUGAGGUGCUCUCACUUGAAGAUGGUCCAGUGAGGUCCAUUUGGAAAGAUAUAGGAGUUCCAGUCAUCAUCAUGAACACCGAUGGGCAUACAAAGAUCUCCUUAGAUUGGCUAAACUAUGAUGGCCUACUUGUGAACUCUCUUG
rnacentral:misc_RNA from 1 species